rnacentral:misc_RNA from 1 species
CGCUUGUAGCACUUGCUUGAUUCGCUUGGCACUCGAUGCAGAGAUCCAUAAUAUGGUUCCUACAGAUUGCGCAGUUAUCCACCACAAUAUCCCAUGCCCAAAGAGCGACGGCAUUCCAUUUCUUGAUUUCGAAUCGUUUGGGUUUCUUGGUAGAGGAUGAGGGUCCGGCGCCGCUCGAGCUGGCCUCACCGGCUGGGACCAUGGUCACAUCCGUGUCCAUCUCUCUACUAGUUUGGUAAAGGGAGAAUUGGGGUAUUUUUAGGGAUCUUCUGAUUUGGGCGAGUGGAGAUGAAAGACGAUCC